GACGAACGCUGGCGGCGUGCCUAAUACAUGCAAGUCGAACGCAGGGGGGACGGGUGUGUAACACGUGGGUAACCUCCCAUCAGAGGGGAUAACACUUGGCAACAGGUGCUAAACCGAUACUGAUGGAUGAACCCGCGGUGCAUUAGCUAGUUGGUGGGGUAACGGCUCACCAAGUCCACGAUGCAUAGCGGGCCUGAGAGGGUGAUCGGCCACACUGGGACUGAGACACGGCCCAGACUCCUACGGGAGGCAGCAGUGGGGAAUAUUGGGCAAUGGGCGAAAGUCUGACGGAGCAACGCCGCGUGAAUGAAGAAGGUUUUCGGAUUGUAAAGCUCUUUUGUUAAAGAGGCGGUAUCUACCCAGGAAGCCACGGCUAACUCCGUGCCAGCCGCCGCGGUAAUUC
rnacentral:rRNA from 1 species